GUCUUUGAAAGGAUGGAGUAGAUUUCAUUUUCUAGCGAUCACUUUCCUUCUGCUGGUGACACACUGUUACUUCAAAGGCCUGGACCGGGGCGUGUUUCCUGUAAGGGUGAGCAGAUUUGAAUGACCGCUCAGGAUGGACCUGCUCUUUGCUGGUCCUGUGAUCCUCCUGGGACAGUAAAGCCACACAGGGCAGCAAGAGCAGCCUUUCUGUUGCCGGAGAUAUUCUGUGGGUAUUGAUUCGGCUCCCUCUGACUUACUUACAAUGAGCUCCCAACACAAUCGAAGUGAUGUAUAAAACCGUGAGGCUGGAGCUUCGGCCAAGCAGAGGCAGUAUGCAAUACAUAAAAGCUGGAAGCCCCCCUUCCCCCCCCCCCCCCCCGCCGCGCUUCUGUGACACUUCCAGCUGGAAGAUGAAUCGGAGCCACACAUUCCAGCUCUGCUUGGGUAGCACGGAAAUAUGCAAGCUGCAAUCAUCUAGGUAUGCUCACUACAGCUAAAGUGGUGCUGUGGUGCCAGUGCCACGUGCCGCGAAGGCUGCCAGCGAGCAUUUUUUCCAAGGACCGAUUAUUGGGAAAUUCAGCCUUUCCUCCUCUCGCUCCCCAACCAUUCAUGGAAAGGUUGCCAUGUGCCAGGAAGCCCGACUAUUUCAGUCAGUCAUGAAGCCAUCUAAGCACAGGUGUUGGAAGAGGUCAGCCUUUGAGCCGUGAUUUAAUACUUAAAGAAGCCUGACCAGACUUGGAACUGAAGCACCUUAAGGACAAAAGAAAGACUUGCUGAGCUCGCUCACAGACCUUCUAGAGCAGCGCUGGGCUCAUGGAUCUGGAGAUUAUGGACAGAAGAUAAUGUAGAUGUUAUAACCAGGCCAGCGUCCUGUGGUAAAGGGUGUCUUUAGAUCACUGUUUCGUCGGUAUAGGUGUUUACAGGUUCUGUCUCAAUGACGAUCAGCACUAACCAUCACAGUGAGGAAGGAAAGCAGAGAUUGUCCUGGACAAGGUGCUUAGCUUGCUCCCCCCUCUCCUUCACAUCAUAAUGACAGGCUCUUCCUUUUAUGUGGGUUCCCCUGCCUUUGAGGUAUCUCAGCCUCUCUUUGCACUUUGUGUCAGAGUGGGGUGCAAGACUCUACAGAGGCUACCACGGGACUUCUGGCCUAUCAGAGAACGCCAGACCUUAGUGUCACUGUUGGAACGGUAGAUUCUGAAGAUAUCCAGAAGCUAAGAGGAACACAGAGAGGGGACAAGGAGUCAGAUACCAUGAAGUAAACAGCCCCACCCCACCCUUUUCUCCAGUUAGAAGUGGCUGUAUUUGUUCGGUUGGAAUGAUCUCUUGGUGUCUGGCAGCUUGAACACAAGUCAACACAGUUGGAAAAGCCAGUUUUCCUAGCUUCUUGGCACAGCUGAUUUCCCGGUAUGGAUUGGCCCUUGGUGUGUCUUUGUGGUGGCAUGGCAAUCAUUAGGAAGGAGUGCUAUCCAGCUGUGAUUGCCCACCAUGAACUAGAGGAGAAGAUCUGGAAUUUCAAACAUGGUGCGCUAAACCGUGGGCAUGUAAAACAUGGUUGCUGAGCUGAAAUCCCUCGUCCUGCCAGGACUACGUGUCUACACUCUAAAACAUGGCAGAGCUGGGUGUUUCUGGAUAGUGGUUGAAGUCCUAAAGCUGAGGACAGAAGACAGAGCAUGUUUCCAUGUCCUAGUGCAUGGAUUCCCAUCUGGCAGAGGCUAAGCAGACCUUUACCAUCCCACGAAGAUUCCUGGAAAGAGGAAGUCACAGAGUGAUGCGCUGAGGACUGUAGGACACAGCACUGUGGCAUUUGCUCUCUCUUUCCCAUGGCAUCCAGAAUUUAUCAAAACUGAACUCAGCUUCUGUCUCCACCUACCUUCUCUGCCUCUCUGGAAUUCCUUUAGCAUGUUCUUCUCCACGAAGCAAGGAACCUAUAGAAUUAAGGCAAUGAAUCCAUUAGAAAUGAUUCCAGACGAGGCACAAGGACACUCUUUUGCACCUGAGUAAAGCCUGCAGCACAGCCUCUGUGCUAUGGUCCCUUUGCUGGUGGCUCCCACCCUGUGUUCGUAGCUCUCCUUGAUGAAAGUGAGUCCUGCCUCUUUGGUCAUCUCUCCAGUGAAACGUUCUGCUCACAUUUGUCUGUUGGAGAGAGCCAAGGUUUCUGGCUCAGCCUGUUCCUCUUAUGUCCAGGACCAAUGACCUCACCAUGUUUGGUCAAUUAACACGCUGUUUCCAAAUCA
rnacentral:lncRNA from 1 species